UGGGGAAUAUUGCACAAUGGGCGCAAGCCUGAUGCAGCCAUGCCGCGUGUGUGAAGAAGGCCUUCGGGUUGUAAAGCACUUUCAGCGGGGAGGAAGGCGUUAAGGUUAAUAACCUUGGCGAUUGACGUUACCCGCAGAAGAAGCACCGGCUAACUCCGUGCCAGCAGCCGCGGUAAUACGGAGGGUGCAAGCGUUAAUCGGAAUUACUGGGCGUAAAGCGCACGCAGGCGGUCUGUCAAGUCGGAUGUGAAAUCCCCGGGCUCAACCUGGGAACUGCAUUCGAAACUGGCAGGCUAGAGUCGUGUAGGGGGGGGUAGAAUUCCAGGUGUAGCGGUGAAAUGCGUAGAGAUCUGGAGGAAUACCGGUGGCGAAGGCGGCCCCCUGGACAAAGACUGACGCUCAGGUGCGAAAGCGUGGGGAGCAAACAGG
rnacentral:rRNA from 1 species